UACGUAGGGUGCGAGCGUUGUCCGGAAUUAUUGGGCGUAAAGGGCUCGUAGGCGGUUUGUCGCGUCGGGAGUGAAAACCUUGGGCUUAACUCAGGGCUUGCUUUCGAUACGGGCAGACUAGAGGUAUGCAGGGGAGAACGGAAUUCCUGGUGUAGCGGUGAAAUGCGCAGAUAUCAGGAGGAACACCUGCGGCGAAGGCGGGUAGCUGGGCCGACACUGACGCUGAGGCGCGAAAGCGUGGGGAGCAAACAGG
rnacentral:rRNA from 1 species